AAUCAACGCUGGCGGCGCGCUUAACACAUGCAAGUCGAGCGAGAAAGGGAGCAAUCCCUGAGUACAGCGGCGUACGGGUGAGUAACACGUGGGUGAUCUACCUUCUAGUGUGGAAUAACCCUGGGAAACCGGGCGUAAUACCGCAUAAGCCUGUGAAGGGAAAGACAGCAAUGCGCUGGAAGAGGAGCCCGCGGCCGAUUAGCUAGUUGGUGAGGUAACGGCCCACCAAGGCGAUGAUCGGUAGCCGGCCUGAGAGGGCACACGGCCACACUGGCACUGAAACACGGGCCAGACUCCUACGGGAGGCAGCAGUGGGAAUCUUGCACAAUGGAGGCAACUCUGAUGCAGCGACGCCGCGUGAGCGAUGAAGCCCUUCGGGGGUGUAAAGGCUCUUUCGGC
rnacentral:rRNA from 1 species